AUGAAUAUGGAGGAUGGGUUAGCCGGAGAAUUAUAUGUAUGCUUUAGAGAGUUUGGAGAUAGAGUCAAACAUUGGACUACAGUGAAUGAAGGAAAUGCGUGUUCUAUUGGGGGCAAUUCUUCAACUGAGCCAUAUUUGGUAACUCAUCAUAUGUUGUUAUCACAUGCAUCAACUGCAAAACUGUAUAGGUCAAAGUACAAGGCCAAGCAAAGGGGAUUUAUUGAGCCCGAGACUUCAAUAUUGGGUGAUUUCUGA